rnacentral:lncRNA from 1 species
UGAUUUUCGAUUGAAAAAGAAACUGAAGAUUCUAGACUUUAUGAAGAGAUUUGGAAAGGUCUCAUUGAGUCUGUCUAUGGGUGGAUUUUAUUACAUUAACAAGAAAUUCCCUAUUAAGAUAGUCACAACUUUACAUUCCAUAUUUUCGGGACUCUUAAAAUUAAAAAAUAUUUCUCGAGACGCAAAAAAUCAAGAAAUAUUUUUGGCUAACGUAACGAAUCCAUGCUUGAAUUCCACAGUUCAAUAAUUCAUUAAGAAUUUUUUUUAUAUCAGAUUUAGUAGAAAUUAGUGAAUAUUUUGUAAGAAAAACGUACAUCAAUAUUUCUUUAACUGAUUCUGAGAAUAUUUGA